AGCGAACGCUGGCGGCGUGCCUAACACAUGCAAGUCGAACGCUGAGUUUGUCGUAGCAAUACGAUGAACAAGGCGUGGCGCACGGGUGCGUAACGCGUGGACAACCUGCCCACGAGUGGGGGAUAACCCCGGGAAACUGGGGCUAAUACCGCAUACUCUUUCCUGGAUGUCGAUCCGGGAACGGAAAGCCGCAAGGCGCUCAUGGAGGGGUCCGCGUCCGAUCAGCUAGUGGUGAGGUCAUGGCUCACCAAGGCUAAGACCGGUAGCUGGUCUGAGAGGACGACCAGCCACACUGGGACUGAGACACGGCCCAGACUCCUACGGGAGGCAGCAGUGGGGAAUAUUGCGCAAUGGACGAAGGUCUGACGCAGCGACGCCGCGUGGAGGACGAAGUCCU
rnacentral:rRNA from 1 species